rnacentral:rRNA from 1 species
AAAAGAGUGGAUGGUGGAUACCUUGGGAUUGAUAGGCGAUGAAGGACGCGAUAUCCGGCGAUACGCCUCGGGGAGUUGGAAAGUGAACUUUGAUCCGGGGAUUUCCGAAUGGGGCAACCCAUUACCAGUAAUGUGGUAAUAUCUAAGUUUCAUAAUCUUAGAAGUGAACCUGGCGAACUGAAACAUCUUAGUAGCCAGAGGAAAAGAAAAUAAAUAAUGAUUCUCUGAGUAGCGGCGAGCGAAAGGGGAAGAGCCCAAACCAAUUAGUUUACUAGUUGGGGUUGGAGGAAAAUGCGUUAAGAGUUACCAAAGUUAUUGAUAGAAGAAUUGGUUGGAAAGCCAAGCCAAAGAAAGUGAAAGCCUUGUAUUCGAAAUCAAUAACUCUCUGCAUUUAAUCCUGAGUACAACGAGGCACGUGAAACCUUGUUGGAAUCCACGGGGACCGCCCCGUAAGGCUAAAUACUCAUCAAUCACCGAUAGUGAACUAGUACCGUGAGGGAAAGGUGAAAAGAACCCCGGGAGGGGAGUGAAAGAGAACUUGAAACCAUCACACUUACAACAAGUCAAAGGACGUUAAAGUCUGAUGACGUGCUUUUUGUAGAACGAGCCGGCGAGUUAUAAUUAUUGGCAAGGUUAAACUUUUUUCGAAGUGGAGCCAUAGCGAAAGCGAGUUUUAAUAGAGCGUGUUAAGUCAAUGAUUAUAGACCCGAAACUAGGUGAGCUAAUCAUGAGCAGGUUGAAGUGGGGAUAAAACCCCAUGGAGGACCGAACCAGUGCUCGUUGAAACGAUCUUGGAUGACUUGUGAUUAGAGCUGAAAUUGUUAUCGAACCUAGAGAUAGCUGGUUCUCCCCGAUAUAGUUUUAGGACUAGCGUCAGACGAAAAGCAAGGGAGGUAGAGCACUGAAUAUGGAAGGGCCCUUAACUGGGUACCGACUAUAAUCAAACUCCGAAUACCUUUGCUCAUUAUCUGGCAGUCAGUCUGGGGGUGAUAAGAUCCCUGGACGUGAGGGUAACAGCCCAGAUCAUCAACUAAGGUCCCUAAAUAAUGCUAAGUGUAGAAGGAAGUGAAUUCGUUUAGACAGCUAAAAUAUUAGCUUAGAGGUAGCUAUUAUCUAAGGAGUGUGUCACAACUCAUUAGCCGAAGGAAUUUGCACCGAGAAUAUAAGGGGGCUCAAGCAUUAUACCGAAGUUAUGAACUAAAAGGCAUUAAUUAGCGUAUUUAGUAAAAGAAACAUCUGAGACAGAGUUUUGUUAAAGAAUUAACUUUUAUUAGUCAUUAAUUAAUGCCUUUUAGUGGUAGGGGAGCGUAGCCAAAGUGAUGAAGUUAAACCGUAAGGAUUAAUGGAAUUUUGGCUAGUGAGAAUGCCGGCGUGAGUAACGCUAGAAGGUGAGAAUCCUUCUUGCCGAAUGACCAAGGUUUCCAGGGUCAAGUUCGUCUUCCCUGGGUUAGUCGGGACCUAAGGCAAAGCUGAAAAGCGUAGUCGAUGGACAACAGGUUAAUAUUCCUGUACUAGUAUUAUUACUGACGGAGUGACGGAGACAGUUAAGAUAAGCCAACUGUUGAACAUGUUGGUCUAAGUAUGUAGAGGGCAUCAUAGGUAAAUCCGUGAUGCUUCGCCUUGAAAUAUGAUGGAUAGGGAAAGGUUCGCUGAGUACCGAAGUAUCUGAUACUUUGCUUCUAAAAAAAGCUUCUAAGUUUGGUUCGACCAAAAAUAAUAAUAUUACCCGUACCGAGAACGAACACACGUGGUCAAGGAGAGUAUCCUCAGGCAAGCGAGAUAACUAUGGUUAAGGAACUUUGCAAAUUAAUGCCCAGGACAACCUGGUGCCACAGUAAAAAGCACGAACGACUGUUUACCAAAAACACAGCUCUCUGCUAACUCGUAAGAGGAUGUAUAGGGGGCGCCGCCUGCCCGGUGCUGGAAGGUUAAGAGGAAUAGUUAGCCGCAAGGCGAAGCUUUGAAUUGAAGCCCCAGUGAACGGCGGCCGUAACUAUAACGGUCCAAAGGUAGCGAAAUUCCUUGUCAGGUAAGUUCUGACCCGCAUGAAAGGCGUAACGAUUCGUGCACUGUCUCAACCAUAGACUCGGUGAAAUCUUAGUACCUGUGAAGAUGCAGGUUACCCGCAACUAGACGGAAAGACCCCGUGGAGCUUUACUGCAACCUGAUAUUGAUUUUUCUUCUUAUUUAUUUGAGGAUAGCAAUAGGUGGGAGACUAUGAAGCCAAGACGCCAGUUUUGGCAGAGUCAACGGUGAGAUACCACCUCUAUAAGCAGAAAAGUCUAACUUAUUGGUUUAGAGCCAAAAGGACAGUGUUUGGUGGGUAGUUUAACUGGGGCGGUUGCCUCCUAAAGAGUAACGGAGGCGUUCAAAGGUAUCCUCAGCAGGAAUAGAAAUCCUGUGGUGAGCGUAAAGGCAAAAGGAUGCUUAACUGUGAGACUGACCAGUCGAACAGAUACGAAAGUAGGACUUAGUGAUCUGCCGAUGCUUAGUGGUAAGGUCGGCACUCAACGGAUAAAAGUUACCCCGGGGAUAACAGGCUUAUCUUUUCCAAGCGACCAUAGCGACGAAAAGGAUUGGCACCUCGAUGUCGGCUCUUCUCAUCCUGGAGGUGAAGAAGCUUCCAAGGGUUGGGCUGUUCGCCCAUUAAAGAGGAACGUGAGCUGGGUUCAGAACGUCGUGAGACAGUUUGGUUCCUAUCUAUUGCGGGCGCAGGAAAUUUGCGGGAGGCUGUCCCUAGUACGAGAGGACCGGGAUGGACUAACCAAUGGCGUACCAGUUGUCAUGUCAAUGGCACGGCUGGAUAGUUAUGUUAGGAAUAGAUAAGUGCUGAAAGCAUCUAAGCACGAAACUAGUCCCAAGAUGAGAUUUCCCAUUCCGAAAGGAAGUAAGAUACCUUUUAGACUAAGAGGUUGAUAGGCAACAAGUGUAAGCAGAGUAAUCUGUUCAGCUCAGUUGUACUAAUUUAUCGAGGACUUAUUUUU